rnacentral:rRNA from 1 species
GGAGACUGCCGGUGAUAAACCGGAGGAAGGUGGGGAUGACGUCAAGUCAUCAUGGCCCUUACGAGUAGGGCUACACACGUGCUACAAUGGCAUAUACAAAGAGAAGCGAACUCGCGAGAGCAAGCGGACCUCAUAAAGUAUGUCGUAGUCCGGAUUGGAGUCUGCAACUCGACUCCAUGAAGUCGGAAUCGCUAGUAAUCGUAGAUCAGAAUGCUACGGUGAAUACGUUCCCGGGCCUU